rnacentral:rRNA from 1 species
UUCGGGGUUAGUGGCGCACGGGUGCGUAACGCGUGGGAACCUACCAUCAGGUUUGGAAUAACAGUUAGAAAUGACUGCUAAUACCAGAUAAUGUCCUCGGACCAAAGAUUUAUCGCCUUUUGAUGGGCCCGCGUAAGAUUAGCUAGUUGGUAAGGUAAAAGCUUACCAAGGCGACGAUCUUUAGCUGGUCUGAGAGGAUGAUCAGCCACACUGGGACUGAGACACGGCCCAGACUCCUACGGGAGGCAGCAGUGGGGAAUAUUGGACAAUGGGCGAAAGCCUGAUCCAGCAAUGCCGCGUGAGUGAUGAAGGCCUUAGGGUUGUAAAGCUCUUUUACUGGGGAUGAUAAUGACAGUACCCAGAGAAUAAGCUCCGGCUAACUCCGUGCCAGCAGCCGCGGUAAUACGGAGGGAGCUAGCGUUGUUCGGAAUUACUGGGCGUAAAGCGCGCGUAGGCGGUUUAUCAAGUCAGAGGUGAAAUCCCGGGGCUCAACCCCGGAACUGCCUUUGAAACUAGUAGACUAGAAUCUUGGAGAGGUCAGUGGAAUUCCGAGUGUAGAGGUGAAAUUCGUAGAUAUUCGGAAGAACACCAGUGGCGAAGGCGACUGACUGGACAAGUAUUGACGCUGAGGUGCGAAAGCGUGGGGAGC